UAAUCUUUCUCUAGUGAGCAGUUUAAGUACAACUUUUAGCAAAACUUAAGCUUUCAUAAGUUUGAGUGUUUGGCAAUUCAUCACCAUACUUAUAUAUGAAGCUUGUUAAAUUAGGUAUAUCCAAUUCAACAUCAAUCAAAUCUAAGCACCACAAUAGUGUAAGAUACUUCAGCGGAACUUGACAUCUUGAUUGUAUGCAAUUUAAA
rnacentral:misc_RNA from 1 species